AAAGCGAAGAAGAAUGCAUCUAAUCUACUACAGUGAAUACAACCGACAUUAAGCUGCUAAAAAUACAGACGACUGGUCAGUUUUUCUUCUCCACAUUUGUGUUUAUUUGGCUAUUCAGAAACUUGCAACGAAAGCAUUAAAUGACAACAUUUACCAGUUCUCAAUAGCAAAAGUGAUACCAGGAGCAACCUGAUUCCACAUGUCAUAUCAACUCAAUCCACGUCAAGGACUCCAGCACGUUUCACCACUGCCACUGAGGCAAUAACCUUCGUUUCCAUUAAGUUUGUAAACAUUGUGGCAAAAACUUGAGUUUUGGUCUCUGACUGGUCUUGAGAGUCGGGAAAUGAUGACUGUUACUAGUCUCAGAUGUGAGAGCUACUGAGCCCAAACCACCUCUGACCGGGAAAAUGGAGCAGGAUCCUGUCAUGCAAUCUUUGCAAUAGCAGCAUUGAUGGGUGUAUCUUCAAGUUUCUGGGUCCCACAAGGCAACUGAAACGAUAAGCAUAAGUGAAAGUAGCAACAAGUUAAAUAAUUUUUGCCUCAUUAAUGUUUAAAGAUGUUAAACAGCAAAACUUAGAGAAGGAGAGCAGCUGACUGAUAAAAGAAAUGUCUACGUAGGUAUUCCUGCUGAAGUCUUGUUCACCUUUCCUUAUGUUACCCUCAAAAUAAAUGCUCACUUGACUAUUAAUCAUAAUGUUUUAACUUCAAUGUCCAGUUUAAAAUCAUUUCAACUUAAAUAAUCCUUUAUUCCUCUUUGUGCUGGGGGCCUGCUCACCCUGUUGAAGUUCUAAUUUGCAUACCAUGACAAAAUCUAUACCAUGCAUUUCUUCAUUAACCUAGGAUAACUUUUUGCUUGUCUGAUUUAAUUUAGAAAAAAACCUCUAGCUUUGUUUGGUCUCCUGAUAUUUAGGAUGCUAGAAGCAGAGACACACUGUGAGACUAUUAGGGACACAGUUCUGUGUUGUUCAGACAAAGUGAGCAUGUUUAGGCAAGUGAAACCUCCCUGUGCAAGCAAGAGCCCAAAUGACAGGGUGUCCUCAGCUCUCCACACACUACUACUGUUAGUCAGCAGCUUUUGUUGUUUUCCAGCCACAGUUUACAUGCAGCACGGCUCAUUAUUCAUCUCCUGAAAGCCACACAGCAGGCGUCUAUGUACAAUUCCCCUCUGUUCUGUUUAUCUGUCGGGCUUUUGCCUCUGAAGCACUCUUGAUGGAGAGAGAGUUCUAGGACCAUCACAUGAUACUCUGCUCGAUUCGAUUGUGGUGUGCAUUGUUUGUAGUUAUCACCAGAGUUGCCACAGUCACUUUUAAAAAGUAAUUUGAUUACUGAUUACAGAUUACUCCUUUAAAAAGCAACUUACUCACUUUACUAAUUACUUGAUUUUAAAAGUAACUAAGUUGGAUUACAAGUUGCUUUUUAAGUUACAUUCAGCAGCCUCAACGUAUAAAUGACAAUAAUUUUCUUUCCAACACUUACUUUAGUGGGAGUGUGAUUUUAACAGGAAUGUCAACAAAUAGUCUGUCUUGACUGACAUAACAUUAACAUUUUUUUAUAUAUAUAAAAUAUAAGAUAAAGACAGUCUUUAAAAUAGUGGUUGUAUUUAGAGCUUGAGAACACGCAUCUCUCUCCUCCCUCCAUUAUUGUUCAUGUUCGUUUUGCUGCUGCUUUAUGUGUGUGCACAUGUAUUACAUGUGAGUGGUCAUCAUGCUGAAAACGUAACUUGCCGCCUACGUACAUGACUGAUGUCACUCCCCUCAGACAAAAACAAAUCCACCUUUUUUUUUAAGGAAAAUUAGAAAAAAGUGACGUACACAGUGACUUGGACAUGUAACUUAAAUCUAAUCACUGGUUUGGAAAUAGCAACAUGUUAGACUACUCGUUACUAAAAAAGGUGGACUUAUGAGAGUAGUGUGUUACUAAGUAAUGUGUUGCUGGCAUCACUGGUUAUCAUAGGGUGCAUUUAUCGUUCAUCAUCAUCUAGUUAAAUCAGACAAUUCCCUCAGACAGCAAGAGGGCUCCCAUUCCUUUACCCAACACUCUGUCCUCUUGUCCUCUUGCUUUCUGUCUGUAUCCCUCAGUUCAUCGUGUACGAUUUGCCACAUCGGUUGACCUCUCUUUGUUGAGAAUAGGACCCUAAAUGCUGUCCCUAUUUAACUGUACUGAGUCGUAUGUGUGUGCGGGUGUCUCAGCUUCACAAUACAGUGAUGAACCGUGUUCACAUAAACCCUCUGUCGCCACUGAUGCAGACCAUAAUUAGGAAGAAGAGAGGGGAGUGUGGAGGGGGGUUCCUCUUUGCAUAAUGCUGUCCAGACACUGUGGAAAUUCUGUUUGUCUGUGUGCAAGAUCUGGUUCUGUUUAAUGUUGGAUGCUAACUACAGCAGAACAGUUUCUCAGUGUAAUCCAGUGGCAAUAAAAUAAUUUGAGACUGAAACUGUAAACAUUAGUCAUAUUUAAACAAUUGGUAUGACUGCAUUACAUUCUGUAAUCCUGACAUUUUCCCAUAAUCUCUCCUUUCGUAUACACAGUGAAAAUUUGAGUUUUUCCCAAUACUGAAAAAAGCUCUAUUCCUCCUUUUUUCAAAGUUAUUUUCUCCUUGACCUUCAGUUCUCCCAGCCGCCACUUCACCUCUUCACCCUCCUCACCUCUGCCCUUCCCUCCUCUCCCUGUAGGAGGUGAGGGUGGCUGUUUUGGAACGAUGGGUCCUGAAUAAACUCCCUUGUACUGAAAGUGACCUUCAGACUGCUGAAUCAGCUGGUACAAAGAAACAGACCUCCAUAAUAGCUCCACAAAACUCCUUAAAAUUUUUAAAUUAAACUGUCCUUGGGCCUUCAAAGUCUAUUGCAUUGAAUGUCUCAAACUGAUAACAGACACUGCUGACACUGCACAGGCCACGGGAUCAGAAAAAUAGACCAAAACAAAAUCACAACAGCCAACCACAAAACUGAUACCCAGUGUCUUUACAUAUUUUAAAAGAAAUAGAUGAGAAGACUGGCACCUUAUGUCUCUAAACAAAAUACUGAGAUGCUGAAAAUUAACAACUACCUUAGUCACACAUUAAGUCCUAUUUUUAGCUUUAAAUUAAAUGAGGUACUGGAAAAGAGUCUUCGACCGAUUGCUGAUUGAUUUUUGAACUCUGGAUACAAGAGGAACAAUGUGGAUUCUGCCCUGGCUGUAAAACGAUGGACCAACUCUACACUCUAGCAAGACCUCUAAAAGCUCAUUGAUGCUCGCCAUAUGUAUGAAAAUGUACAUGUCAGUUUCAAAUGAUGGUUUCCGUCACUGCCCACAUACUUCCAUGUGUCCUUUACGUUGGCAUGGAUGUUAACCAUUACAUCCACCAAGAGGCAUGCCAAAGUCAAAAGUUUCUGACAACAACAAACCAAAAAAAACAUGGCGACUGUGGAGAAGCUAGUGAAGAUGUAUAUUAUGCAUAGGAGACAGAAACAGAGGCAGCGUUGAAGGAGGCGGUGGUCCGUCAGGCCACUAAAUGCCUCGUGGUUGGAGGACGGAGAACUCUUUCCUCAAAUAGUACCGAUGAGAGAAAUUGACGACGAUCAUCAUUUUCAGUACUUCAGGAUGUCCUCCGGGGCAUUCAACAACUUGCUUCGCCGGUUGGUCCCCCACAUCCAGCACCACAAGUCAACAACACUACCCCCUUGGAAGAGUUGCCCCUUGUCAUACUAUUUGUAAUCUGUAUGGGCAGAAUCUUUAACUGCAGCUGGAGGAGUAGGGUUUACAGUUUGGAGGCCUCAGAAUUCCACCUCUGCUUUUUGCAGAUGAUGUGGUUUUGUUGGUUUCCUCAGGCUGGGACCUCAAACAGGCUUUUGGGUGGUGUGCAGUUGAGCUGAAAUGAGAGUCAGCCCCUUUAAGCAUGGGGCCAUGGUUCUCUGCUGGAAAAUGGUGGUUUGCUCUCUCUGCAUGAGGAGUAGGUCUCUGCCUCAAGCAAAGUAGUCAAGUAUCUUGAGGUCUUGUUCACAGUUGAUCAUAAGAUUGACAGGUGGAUUAAUACUUUAUUGACUGAUAUGAUGUUGUACUAGGAGAAGCAGAUGGUGAAGAAGGAGCUGAGCUAGAGAGCAAGGCUCUUGUUUUACUAAUCCAUACUGUCCGACCCUCAGCUGUGGUCAUGACCU